rnacentral:rRNA from 1 species
AUUGAACGCUGGCGGCAUGCUUUACACAUGCAAGUCGAACGGCCAGCGCGGGCUUCGGCCUGGCGGCGAGUGGCGAACGGGUGAGUAUACAUCGGAACGUGCCCAGUAGUGGGGAUAGCUCGGCGAAAACCGGAUUAUACCCGCAUACGACCUGAAGGGUGAAAGCGGGGGAUCUUCGGACCUCGCGCUAUUGGAGCGGCCGAUGGCAGAUUAGCUAGUUGGUGGGGUAAAGGCCUACCAAGGCGACGAUCUGUAGCUGGUCUGAGAGGACGACCAGCCACACUGGGACUGAGACACGGCCCAGACUCCUACGGGAGGCACAGUGGGGAAUUUUGGACAAUGGGCGAAAGCCUGAUCCAGCAAUGCCGCGUGUGUGAUGAAGGCCUUCGGGUUGUAAAGCACUUUUGGCGGGAACGAAAGGGACUGUGCCAAUACCACGGUUCGAUGACGGUACCCGCAGAAUAAGCACG